GAUGAACGCUAGCGGGAGGCCUAACACAUGCAAGCCGAGCGGUAUUUGUUCUUCGGAACAGAGAGAGCGGCGCACGGGUGCGGAACACGUGUGCAACCUGCCUUUAUCUGGGGGAUAGCCUUUCGAAAGGAAGAUUAAUACCCCAUAAUAUAUUGAGUGGCAUCAUUUGAUAUUGAAAACUCCGGUGGAUAGAGAUGGGCACGCGCAAGAUUAGAUAGUUGGUGAGGUAACGGCUCACCAAGUCAAUGAUCUUUAGGGGGCCUGAGAGGGUGAUCCCCCACACUGGUACUGAGACACGGACCAGACUCCUACGGGAGGCAGCAGUGAGGAAUAUUGGACAAUGGGUUAGCGCCUGAUCCAGCCAUCCCGCGUGAAGGACGACGGCCCGAUGGGUUGUAAACUUCUUUUGUAUAGGGAUAAACCUACUCUCGUGAGAGUAGCUGAAGGUACUAUACGAAUAAGCACCGGCUAACUCCGUG
rnacentral:rRNA from 1 species